rnacentral:lncRNA from 1 species
UUUAUAGUUCCCAGUGGGCAAUUACUGACCUCAGCUCUAUGCACCACUAGGCCCCAAAAGAAAAGGGUAAGUACAAUAAUAAUAGCAAUAAUGACUGCGAUAUGAAAGCAUAAUUAAAAUGCUAAAUUACUAAACUCAAGUAUACACGAUGUCACGGUGAUGUACAUCUACGAUAUCAUAAUAGUAUGUCCAAUGGCAAUAGUUAAAUGUCAUUAACCUUUGUCAAUAUGUGAUGCCUAAGUUCUGUCAUGGUAACCAAGUAUGCUUUAAUGCAAUAAAAGACUACCAAGUAUACUACAUGUCUCAACACUAUGCUAAUAGCAUAUAACUGUAAUUCAACUACUAAACCUAUCUAGUAGUGAUUAUCCAUUCCCGGUUCAAUGUCAUUAAUCAAACAUGUUUUAGGAUCCACAUAUUGUAAUCCAGCUUGUGCCGCCUAAGUGUCGGUGGUAACCCCAACAUUCCCACUGUAGGAAUGAGUCUAUCCCUACCGACCCCGUAGGCCUCUCGAUACCGCACGGCGAACAUAGGUCGCGUAGGCUAAGUCCGGAGUGCCGGC